rnacentral:rRNA from 1 species
CCUACGGGAGGCAGCAGUGGGGGAUAUUGCACAAUGGGGGAAACCCUGAUGCAGCGACGCCGCGUGGGCGAAGAAGUAUUUCGGUAUGUAAAGCCCUAUCAGCAGGGAAGAAGAAAUGACGGUACCUGAGUAAGAAGCACCGGCUAAAUACGUGCCAGCAGCCGCGGUAAUUCGUAUGGUGCAAGCGUUAUCCGGAUUUACUGGGUGGAAAGGGAGCGUAGGCGGCACGGCAAGCCUGAUGUGAAAGCCCGCGGCGCAACCGCGGGACGGCAUUGGAAACUGCCGGGCUGGAGUGCCGGAGAGGUAGGCGGAAUUCCUGGUGUAGCGGUGAAAUGCGUAGAUAUUAGGAGGAACACCAGUGGCGAAGGCGGGCUCCUGGACAGUAACUGACGCUGAGGCUCGAAGGCGUGGGGAGCAAACAGGAUUAGAUACCCUGGUAGUC